UUCGGCAUGAGGCUUUAAUUUUUGGGGAUUUUCUUCUUUUUUCUCUUUAAUGUUUUAAGAGCAUGCAAGUCCUUGAUCAAACAUAAUAAUUCCUUUUUUUUUAAAGUUUAUUUUAACACGAUAUGUAUUUUUAGAAUUUCUGCGUGUCAUGUUUAACAACUGCAUUUCUGGUAUUUUUCUUGGGAAAGUACCAUUAAAUGUAACAAUUCUGCAGAAGUUACGUCCCAUUAAGUUCCCUUUUUUCGCAUUUGGAAACCUUUUUUAAUCUCUCCCUUGAUACUCAACUAGUAUACAAUUAUGACAUGGGACAUUGAUAAAAACUGCGAGUAAGACAUUCAGUUAUCUUUUGUCCUCACAAAAAAUGACUUUGUCAACCGUGGGCUAUAUUGUAUAGCACUGUUAUCAUCAAUCAAACAAAAUAAAUUAAAAAAAAAGGCUUUACUACGGUAAUACAAACAUAUUCUACAUACUGUAGUGUUUCCUGUCAAAUGGGAAAAACCAUUAGCUUAAUUUAGUUCAAUGCAAAUAAAAUUAAAAGUGGAAUCAUUUUACUAAGACACUUACGCUGAACCAUAACAUAGACCAGGGGUCACCAACCUUUUAGAAACUGAGCGCUACUUCAAGUGCACUUAGUAAUACCAAGAGCUACUUGUUUGAUAUAGACUUCCUGUUCUGGGACAUACAACUGUAGACACUCUUCUUACCAUCUGAAUAUCACUGCAAGUGGAGCUGAUUCAAAAAGCACAGUAACAGUACAAUUUUUGACCCUCUUGUUGACUAGUUUUAUAUUUAGAACAUAACCUAAGGUAGUCCACAGGGUCUACCAGGUCCCUCUGGACACCAUGUUGAUGACCCCUGCCAUAGACCUAACAUAAAACUGGCUGUAACGCUAUGCUGGCAAAAGACAUUUGCGUUCUAAAAACGUUAUAGAACAAUUUUGUGAAUUCCUCCUUCAUCAAAAUAAAUAAAUAAAAUAGCCAAUAUAUUAAAUCAUUGAUCAUGUGCUGUAUACAGGCUGAGAUCAUAUCUGUUUUGUUAGUUUUAUGGGGUUUUUUUCCCCUGCUGACUGGUCAUGACACAGGGGCAUAGGUUCAAAAUAUUUCCUUCGUCCAUUAAAAUGGAAUUUCAUUUUUGUUUGUCGCCUGCUCCUCUUAAAACUUCUCAUCAGCCUCACACGUAAUACUUCCCAACGCCUCAUAGGUCACAGGAUAAAACGCCUCUCUUGGGCGGAUGUCCAGCGAUUGGACAGCCUUCUCUGUAUCCGCCCAUUUUUCCCCCCUCGACUGGGAUCUGAGCUCUCAUUGGUCCGUGCGACCGAUCGUGGCUGUGCGUCUAUAGCAGGACAUCAGCGAUGACUUUUCCGGCUUGCUUCUGAUUGGUCGGUGCCUUGUUCUGACAUCAGAGUCCUGCCAGCUGAUCGGAGUGAGAAGCCGGUUUGAAGAGAGGAGUUGGACCAGAAAGAGAGACGGAUAGAGAGAGGGAGAGGGAGAUCGGGAAGGGAGUCCUCGGGAGCCAGAGACAGCGCCUGGUCGGAGAAGCCAGCUGGAUAAUCAGAACGUUUUGGUCUGGUUUCCUGUAGAAAUUGCUUGAUGGGCAAAGAGCCGCAGUGUAGUCAGGGGGAACUUGGGCGCCUCGUCGAAAUCUCUGGAAGUGUCAGGAAAAAAUGAUUGAGAGUUAAGGUGUGGCUGAGCGUCUGUGUCACGCUUCUGAAGAAAAAAAAUUCUUACCAAAAGCCGUCGUUUCUCCUCGUCGGUGAGCAGUCAGGAUAUGAGUCUUAGCUGAACCAGUGGCUUUACGGUCUUUUUACUCGGUGACGAUAUUACAUAACAGAUGUCUUGUCAUCUUGAUGGGCUGAAUCAUCCGUUAUAGACCAGGGUGAUGGGACUUUUGCGCACUGGAAGAAUGAGGUCGAUUAUUGGUUUCCCUUUUUUUUGUCCGGGUUGAUAUUUGGUUCGGUUUUAGGAGGUGUGUGUGUGUGUGUGCGUGCGUGCGUGUGUGAAUGUAAAGGACGUGGCAACUUUACAGUAGCCUGCUCUGCCGAAUGCCACAGACAAACUGGGCGUGGGGUAGAAGAGUGUGAACAUAACCUAAUGAUAAUCCUCAGAUCUGAGCCUCAAACUACGCGUAAUUGGCACAGCGAGCAGCGCCGGCGGAGCCUGUGGAUCCAUCUCAGUCUAAGUAAGUACGACUGUCCAUAUCCCUUCUGAAAACUUUCUUAAAAAAAAAAAAAAAAUAGAGCCAACACGAGUCAGGAAGCGAUAGGUUUGGAGGCUAAGGCGUUCAAUUUCUUUCUUUAAUUUAUAUAAAUUUUUAAAACUACCUAAUAGAAGCUGCAAUAGCGCGACAGCGUGUACAUGGAGCUAUCCAGGCCUGUAUACGAUCUAUAUAAUCCUGACUGCGAUACAGCCUGGAUAUGAUGGGGAGGGUGUGUCGCCUUUGCCAGGCAGGCAGGCUCUUAGGGCGUUGAAUGAAUCUAAAUACAGCAGGGAGAGAAGGGAGGAAGGGAGGAAGGAAGGAAAUAAAGAAGGAAGGAAGGUAAGCGCAUGAAGAGUUGGUGUCUACAGCAGUAGUGUGUAUGUGCGUGCGUGUGCGUGCGACUUGUCAAAGAACCAUCCGAGCACUCAUUGUGUGGUGAUGAGACGCGUUUUAACUCAAUCAUAAUUGAGUGCGCCGUCACACUGACCCGUUCUGCAGCCUAAUUAAGAUAAGCUCUCAAAGUCCAGAGAAAAGCAGAUAGAAAGAAUUCCUUAAGGCCCCACCCUUUGCAGCGCAACAUGAAUGUGGAGAGUUGCGCCCCCCCCUCUCUCUUCUUUUCCCUAUGUCUCUCUCUCGCCCUCUCUCUCUUUCCCCGCGUCAUUAAUUUCCCCUUUCAGGCCUGUCUUAUGUCCUUUUUCCACAAUUCAGUUCAUCCCAAUGCCUAGGUUUUUUUUAAAUUUUCUUUACUUACUAACUUUAACACUGUCAUGAUCUGCCACCAGGACUCCCACAGGUAAGAGUUGACUUUUUAUAAAUAAAAAAUAAAAAUAGGAAGUUCAUUCAAGUGGGUAGUUUAAAUGUCAAGUGUUAUUUAACUUGUUUUUAUUGCUUAUCUUUUUUUUUUUGUUUUUUAAACAUGUCAGCAAGGUUGCUGCUCCGCUCUUAUCAACCUGUUGCCAACUUAAACAGACUAUGUAAACUGUCACUCACCUUGCAGCGUAUUUCCUAUGGGUUGUUAAGUAUGUAAAUGCAUCGUACAGCAAUGUCAAACAUUUUUGCCGUGCAGUCUCUUUAAAAAGAAUUCCGCAUUAGCUAGCCACCCCGCUAACAUUAGUCAGAUUACUGUAUACAUACUUGGGUUCAAAGCUCAUUCUUCUUUUUUUUUUUUUUUUUUUUAGAGAAAGCAGAUUUUUAUCUGCAAAAUGAAAGCAAAGAUGUGGUCUCUACUGAUGAUUUAAGGUUUGAUUUUUGCACACAUGUAGCAGAUGCUGUUUCCCACAUGGACCGUAGGUUCGUGAGAGAUUCAUUUAGUGGGUUUUUGCUUGUGAAAAGUAAAGCCGUGGCCUUAUCACGCUGCACUCUCUAGGCCAGUCACGCACUGGACAAAACCAGCCACAUACCAUUCACUCCAAGCUUCCCAUGUUGCAUGUACACUCCCUAUGAGUGGCCGGUCUGCUCUCAUAUUGUCAUGUUAUGAACAGUGAAUUAUACAUGAUGCUGCAGGACAGUCAGUCUGCUCUGAUCUGCUUCAUCAGGAUGUAGGCAUCUAGAAUGUCUGUCUAAAAAUCAAUUUUUUGUAAAUUUUUGUGAAUUGAGAAUUAACCUCUGUUGCGUCUCUGCAGCCACCCCACCCACAUUCCAUGUAGGAAGUGCUAUGUUGAAACUAGUUUUCCGAAUACAGUAUAUAAAGUGUGAUAACGUGUUCAUAAGAACUCGGUGGUUUUGCGUACAAUGGCACAUUGUGUGAUUUUUUUUUUUUUCUUUUAAAGAAUAGUGCCCAGAAGAGGCUGCGGACUAUUUGCAACAAUGUACUUGAGUGUGAUAGUGAACCUAAUGCAUGUCCUAACUUAAUUCCAUCCAAGCAGUGUUAAGAGGCCGUGAUCAACUAUGUCCUCAAGUGCCACGUUAUUGAAAAUUAUAAUAAUUUUGCACUUUUUUUUUUUAGAGAAUAAUGACUGUGUAUCACCGCAUUGCUAAUUACAAGUUUCUUCUGAUUUUUUUUAUUUUAUACUCCUUUCUUUCUUUCCUUUGUCAUCUCCCCUUAGUCUGCUCGGUGAUUAUAUUUUUCCAUGCUGGACAAACCUGUGCAUGUGUAUUAUCUCUGCGUGGACAGAUGUGAUUAAUACAGACGUUCAGCAGUGACGUCUGUGGUGCCACUCCCCAGACGCAGACACGAACAUAAAGAGCAUGGAGCAGGGCAGAAUGAUGGAAAUGUUGUGUGGUUUUUAUCCAUUCAAUGUCAAAAUGCUUCAGUCUUUGUUCCAGAGCUUUUCCCUGUUGUUUGGAGCAGCAUGGGGGUUCGCCGAGUUCCUGGAGGUUGCUGGGUUCGCUGAGCCGCUGAGAACUGGUUUGCCCAAAAUCCUGUCCUUGAACUGGGCGAGAAAAAAAGAAGAAAUGCUGCUAGGGGAAGGCUUUUCAGAGCGACUGACUGCAAUAGUUGAAGCUCAUCCAGCUGACUGAAGUCCAGGCGAGACAAAUCUUCGGCUACUCUUAAGAAUUAUACAGUGGCAGACUGAAAAAGACACGUAGGACCUCAUAUCAUAUCAUGGGCUUUUCUUGUCGUCGCACAUGAUUAAGCAGUGGUUAGAUUUUCAAUACUGUUUAACAGCACAGAACGUAAUCCCGGUUUAGUUGCUCUGACGUUUACAUUAAAAAAAAGACACUCAUUUGCAAAUGAGGUUUUUUUUUUCUCAAGGUAAAAUAACAAAAUGCUUGACAUGUUAGUAAAGCAGUAACACGCCCCGGGGAGUAGCUGAGCCUAAAUAGCAAGAAAAAUAUCUCUUUCAGGCCUCUAUGGCUGCUGUAAAGUGAACUGCCCCACAGGACAAGAACUGUUUUCUAUCAGCAGUUCCAGGCUGAAACCAGAGGCCAAGAUAUUUAGCGAGCAAAUACCUCUGCAUUCAAUUAGAAGCAGAGGCAGAGAGAAUGCUAAAACAGUAGGCUGGCAUGUCUGAUGAAGACUCCAUGCUGGUGCGCACACGCAACUUGUUUGUUUAAGUGUGCAUGCACAUUUAAACACUUAGUAAAGUUCAGCUUUCUUAAAUGAGGACAAAAGAAUGUCGUAAACCCCCCCCCCCCCUUGUAUCGUUCCGCUUUUAUUUUUCUCUCUUAUUCACCAUAACAAAAGUUUCUUUAAGCUACGACUGAAGGUAGCAUCUGCACUGGUGUAGUUGUACUUCUGAGAACUUUUUUUUCAAAAUCACAUUGAAUUUCCAUUGCUUCCUUCCAUUUUUGUCCACUAGAAGGCACUCCAACCAAAUAUGUAACAAGUUUUACCAACGCAAUAUAAAACUUGAGGGAAAUCUAAAUAUUAUAGUGAGCAGCUGGUGGGGGCAAAAACGCAAUUUUUCUUGCUUGAUUCAAGCAAGGUCUUCGUCCGCCGCUAACAGUUCUGCAUACGAUUGAAUGAACUCAGUCAUAGUUGAGUGGUACUUUAAUGAUGCCUUGCAUAGUCUGCAAAUAACUGUUUCUCUUUGUUAUUUCAUCACAUUUUUUUUUGGUUUGUUUUUUUUUUUUGGAAAUCCAAACACUUUUUAGGUUUCGAGGAGUUGAGAUUUCCUGCUGGUGCGCUGCUUUGCGCCAUCUUGUAAUGUAAAAAUACCGUUGAUGCAUAAGUUGCAAGUUCGAAAGUCACUUCCCGCAUUCGAAUGUUCUCAUUUUUAAAAUAAUUUAUAUUCUAUUCGAAUAGCCAAAAUAAAAGCAAUGAAAAAUUUCCUAAAGAUAAAACAUGAGCAAUGGUUGCUUUAUUUUUUUGUACUUAAUGUUAGCGGACGUUUUUAAAGAUGUCUUUGCUUGAUUGACAGGUGUCCGAUGUCAUGAUCGUAUUUUCCAGCAGGUGGUGUCUCUACAGUGAGGUGAGAUGCUCGUUGGCUAACCUACAGCAGUUCUUCACUGGCAAGCUUUAUGUGUUCCUGUACCAACUAAAGCUGCCAGCUGAAGAACUGUUGUGGUGAGCUCUUUCCUGCACCGGAGACUGAACUGUCGCUUUUUUGUGGCACACACACACACACACACACACGCACACAGACGGUGGACAAACAUCACGUCAAACCUCUUUGGCCUUUUCCCAAAUCCAGUCCCUCACUUGUCACUUGUGCAGCACGUUCAUGAGCUCGUGUUCAUACCAUGACACCUGCUGCUUCAUGUAACAAACCCAUUGCAUCAUGGAACCUGUUCAUUAGAGAGAGCUUAGCCUUAUGACAACUGCAUUUCCCUUUAAUGACACGUUGUUAUAAUGUCUUGGCAGAGUUUUUGUUUCAGCUGGUUUGCAUCAUCCUGAGAAAAAUAAAGUGCGAUGGUGCAUAAGGAGUCUUAUUUCUACUUCCUUCCCCAGUAUGGACACUCUGGACCCUGCAAUUGAACUACCUUAACUCUCCGGACUAUAAGCCCUAACACUGCGGCUUAAACAAUGAUGCGGCUAAUUUAUGGAUUUUUACAGACUAUUGACUUUUCUGGUAGGCUACUGUGUCUUAUACUAGUAGCGUAUGUCUUUGAAUGGCUGUUUGCGUAUAGGUGCGUGGGGCAUGCAAGAGAGAACGCUAGCUAAUGUUGGGAGCAGUUUGAGCCUUGUCAUGUUUGGAGCGUGAGUUGGUUAUACAGGAGCUGUCAAAACUCUGUUUAUGUUCUGUUGUGCUUGGUGUGACUGUUUCUGUUUACCUCUGCUGUGGACAAGCACAAAGUGAAGGAAGCAGGUCACUAAGUCUCCCCUGUGCAUUCCAACUAUGACUGAGGCUCCAAAGCGGGAAAGAGCUAACGUGUAACCAGCCGUGUUACAGGCACGGUUCGGAAAAAAGUGAAAAAAUAGUCUCAAUCGUCUAGAAAUUACGGUAUAUUGGGAUUUGAUCAAUUUUGGAACUGAGAAAAGUAGAUGAAUGACCAAGGCUCAAACUGCUAUCGACUGAGCCACUUUGAGUACGUAUCACUUUUAGAAACAAAGGGAGUUCGAGGUUUUCCCUUUUUACCUUUUAAAGGUUUCGUAAGAGUUUGUAAUGAAUCAUGAAACUCCCAAAAUACAAACAGCAUGAAUAAAAGGCAGCUGCCGUCUGCUCUCUUCGGCACGCUUCUGCUCGUACUCCUCCGUGCAAUGGAAACCAUAACUUCUUCUCGGUAAAACGGUAACAAGUGUUCGGCCGGCGAGUCCAAGAGACUGACAGGCCUCUCGUCUGUUACCCUCCUCUGAAAUAAAUCAAACUUCAAGAGCGAGAGGGCAAUGCCUGAAGCAGGAUAUGAGAACAAACAUGUCCCUUUAAAAGCUGCCAGCCAGAGUCAAACAGAGGGAAGGAAUGUUCUGGGGGCCUUAACAGAACCAGAUGCCCCAGCUUACUCUGCUUUAACACACAUGCUUCCACUGGCCUCAACUCCUUCCCUUAGAUCUCCCUUAACUCUACAAGGGCUGGUGGGACUCUCUUCUCCUCCCAUGGGGAGUAAGCUAUCAUCUUCAUCAACUACUUGUAAUUUCCUCUGGCUUUCACUCCCCGUCUAUGCCUCCACGUCUUCGCUGUCAUGUCCAUUUGCUCGGCAGACAUUUCCCUAAACUCCGUCACAAAUGAAACUCUCGUAGCUGAAGGGAAACACCGACACGGUAUUAUUCCACUCUCUUUGUUGUACAUCCUUUUCCAAGCAGCGCUCAGUGUGCCAUGACAGUGCACGCAGCAGUCGGGGUUUGACAUUUUCACAUUUCUUCCAGGUCAGCGGCUCGUCUGUCUGGUCAGCUCCACCAGAGUCAGCCGGUGAGUGUACGGAAAAUCAAAGGGUACAGUUUCAUAGAGGAAGGCUUAGAGGCUUUUGUAUGUAGGAGUGUGUGCCGUUCUAUCCUCCUCAUUACUUUUUUUUUCCUUCUUAUCCACAGAGAUUUCCCACACCACUGCUACUAUACCUUGGUGGCCUGUUCCUGAUCCUGCUGUGCAGGAAAUCAGCCGCCCAGAUGGAGAGGAGCAGACGGCUUCUUCGAACAGGAGCCUGAUUAAAGGUGUUCUGGGUAAAAAAAAAAA